CCCUGGGGAAGUGUACUUAGGCCACGGCUAGGUGAAGCCCAGGGAUAUUUCUGUUCGCCCAUGCAUCCGAGAAAGGAGUGUUAGACCUGACCCUGUUGUUUCUCCCAGCAGUGAGAACGUGGCCAUGGACAAGAAUUCCAAGUAGUGGCACUUCUGUAGACGACGCGGCCCUUUUGGGGUUACUACAGCCCAGGAAACUCACAUGCGACACGGCGCCAGCUGAAGUCCAUCUAGACCCCCGCAGACCCAAGGUCACAAGUUGAGAACCCCCUGCCGUGGACAUUCUUCUGCACCUAGUGGUGAAGCAGGUGGAGCUGCACCUUGCUCCGCCCAUUUGGAGACUGGUUCUGCACAUAUGAGUGUGCCCUGCAGCGAUCCUGCAAUCCUUCGUGACUAACAAGGACUUUCUGUGAAAACAGAUUUAUCUUUUCUUCUCUACCUUUAAGGUUUCUUGCUGUUGAGAAUAGUUAAGGGACGAGGAAUUCUUAUUGCCCCCAUUUUACAGGCAAAGAAACUAAUGCUGACCCCAACCUUACCGACCACUUGGAGGUCCCUAAAAACACAUGACCUUUGUGUUUCUCGGCUGUUAGUGGAAUCCUUUCUGUCUGCUCAUGAACUCAUCUUCAAACGCAUUCCAGGCCUUCAGAACUCUUCCGUGAGCGCAAGUCACUGAUUGCACUAGAAAGAACCACAUGGGGUUUAUUCUUCCCUCUUUCAAGAAACCUAAUGAAAUUGGGCUGAGAUUCCAAGGAACUCCUGGAAAAGAGUUAUCAGUGCCAGAAUGAAAGAUCCUAGAGGCAGAGCCCACCGUUCUACUCUAUUUAUAGUGGUGAAAGAGAUGGAGCUUUACCAUGAUGCCUAGGCUGGUCUCAAAC
rnacentral:lncRNA from 10 species